rnacentral:rRNA from 1 species
UACGUAGGGUCCAAGCGUUAUCCGGAAUUACUGGGCGUAAAGAGUUGCGUAGGUGGCAUAGAAAGCGGACAGUGAAAGCGUGUGGCUCAACCAUACAUCCAUUGUCUGAACUCCUAAGCUAGAGAACGAGAGAGGUAGAUGGAAUUCCUGAUGUAGGGGUGAUAUCCGUAGAUAUCAGGAGGAACACCGAUGGCGUAGGCAGUCUACUGGCUCGUUUCUGACACUAAGGCACGAAAGCGUGGGGAGCAAACAGG